rnacentral:misc_RNA from 1 species
AGAGACCAUUAAAACAACAAACAGUUAAAUAAAAAAAAUAUGUUUCUGCUUACCAACGUUUGCUACAUAAACUGAUUUUACAUCUCAAUUUAUCUCAUUCAUUGGAAUACCAACUUUCACAAAGUUUUUUUUAAAUUCUGAAUUGUACAAAACAUACAGUAUAUUUAUGAAAGAAACCAUGUUUCUUACCUCUUGACUAGGUUAUAAAUUGUUAAGAAGAAUAUGGAAAUGGGUGGAGUUUAUUUUGUUAGCAUAUUUGUUUAUCUUCAUCUCAAAUUUUAUUAUUGUUUUAUAAUGCAUGUUACUGUCUUUAAGGAAUUUUUCCUUUUGAUGUUCUUUAUGUUUAUUUUAACAACUGUGAUAUUUUAUUUAAAGAUAAGAUUUUCACUAUGCUUUAUAAAUUGUGUAUAUUCAUGCAGUUUAUAUGCUGACAACCCAGAUAAAUAUAUGAAUUUUUAUAAAUGAUAAAUAUUGCACUUUGUUCUUGAUGGAAUAUUAGAAGAAAUUGUGAUAUGUGUCCAAAAAUAAAUGGAUAUAUUCU